CAACUUUCUGUAUUUUCAUUACGACCUCAAUGACUGCUAUACCUCGUUAACGGUGUAUGGAGGACAGCAGAAGACAAGCAAGUCUCUCACGCUUUCUCCAAAGACAGUCGAACAUUAUAAGGUUUUCACUCAAUGCCUUUUUACUCCCCCAAGUUACUGACAUGAAGUGCCAUAGCAAAGUCAUGGACCUAUAACAAUAUAGAGAGAAGGUGGGAGGAACUCUACACCGAUGCAUCUGUUUGUGCUUGUUGUGAUUCCACAUGUAAAAUUGAAUAAUCUUGUAUAGAAAAUAUCAGAGACUAUCAGUCGUUCCAGGGUCUCCAAGGUACCUUGAAUAACCUUUUUUGGAGAUGCAUCUGUGGGGUCUCUGCAAACUUUAUGGAUUCAACUGAAUUCAGUGUACAAGUAGUCACAUUUUCUGUAUUUUUAUUGAAUAGUAUACUUUCGUUAAAGUACAGCUAACAUUCACUGUAAUGUCGUCAGAAUAUAAAAACAUUUUUGACUGAUCAUUCUUUUUCUUUUUCUGAUGUCCUCUGACCUCUUUGAUGCCUCUCACUGAAUGACUUAUUCUUAAAGGGAUAAUCUCACAGUUCAUAUUUUACCCAAAAUCAAGAAAUAAAAAUGCAUAAAGAAAAUCUGCAUUAUGAUCUUCUGUUUAAAUGUGUUCAUAAAUCACAGGAAUAAAAUCUCAAGAGAAUUCCCUGACGAGAUUAGACAUGUGAAUGAAUAUAGAGAACAGACACAUUUGAAAAUA